AGGACGAACGCUGGCGGCGUGCUUAACACAUGCAAGUCACGGGGGCUUCGUAAGGAGCAACCGGCGAACGGGUGCGUAACACGUGAGCGACCUGCCAUACCUGUGGGGGAUAGCCGGCCCAACGGCCGGGUAAUACCGCAUACGAUCUUUCGGGCGCCUGCUUGGGAGACGAAAGCUGGGGGGUAACCUUUGGCGCAGGAUGAGGGGCUCGCGGCCUAUCAGCUAGUUGGCGGGUAACGGCCACCAAGGCGACGACGGGUAGCUGGUCUGAGAGGAUGGCCAGCCACAUUGGGACUGAGAGACGGCCCAGACUCCUACGGGAGGCAGCAGUGGGGAAUCUUGCGCAAUGGCCGGAAGGCUGACGCAGCGACGCCGCGUGUGGGAGGACGCCCUUCGGGGUGUAAACCACUGUUGCCCGGGACGAAAUCUCCUUUGGGGAGACUGACGGUACCGGGUGAGGAAGCACCGGCUAACUCCGCGCCAGCAGCCGCGGUAA
rnacentral:rRNA from 1 species